UUUAGAGAAUCACAACCCGCUGGUAACUAAGACAGCGCGGCGCUUGGAAACCGCGACGCCUUCCCUCCUUCCCACCAAGCGACUCCUUUGUGGUUCAAGAGAUUCUGGGAAGUGUAGUUCGCAAGGGCCGAACUUACCCAGAUUCUUUAGAGGAACUGUGUGGAGAAGGCCCAUAAAUCCCAGGAUUCUCAUCUACCCGAGUGGCGUAGUGCGAGAGCGCUUUUAAAGCUAAAGCACUUCCAUAUGUCUCCAGAAUGUUUGCCACUCCAACCUCAUUACAGAGCUCUUCAUUUGUCAUGCAAUUAUAGAAGAAAAUUCUACAUAUUUCCAUCUUUUUGUUGGAUGAUUACAAGCUUCCAUGUUUCAGCAGGAUAUUAUCAAAGAUUACUUAAUUGUUUUGAGCAGAGGGGAUAGCUCUCAUGGUCUUAAAGAAGGAAAUCGCUGAUAUCAAUGAUCCCUUCUGCCCCAGUCUUAUUGCUCCAAAGGAUGCCUAUCAACUCUCCUUUUCCCUCAACACCCUCAAAAUUCCCGUACAUGUGAAAAAAAUCCUUGCCCUCCAGGCCUCGUCUUGUAAUAACUUCUUCUCUUCCCAAGCUGAAUCUUCAUGGACAGCUAAAGUUUUCCAAUGGUUGUUACAUAAUGAAGCUAGAUAAAUAUGCCAUGAACCUGAUUCAUCAGUACAUAAAUUUUGGACAGAUAUUGCAAAUGGAUGGUAAAACUGGCACAGAGUUAAAUAGGAUGAAGAAAGCAGAAGGAAUUACCUAUGAGGAUUUGUGGUCUUUCAAUGUUUCUCCCUGAGAUAAAUAACAACAAUAAAAAUCCAUCUUUUUGACAUUAAUUUUCUUGUUGUAUUGAUACCUGGCAUUCAAAUCAAGGAAUAUUAUAAUCUAUCUGAUAAAUCAAAAACCAGGUUGCCUAAGAAGCAUGGAUAGCAUGUGAACAUGUAGCAGUAUACUACCCAUAACAAACUGAAUGCAAAAAGUGAAAGAAAAAAUAUUAUACAAGAGAUAUAUGAUGGAAAAAGCAGAUAGCACAAAGUAAGGGAUAAUGGAUAGAAAACCCAUGUAUUAUAAUGAUGAACAGACCAAGAGGAAGGCAUUUAGUACAUUAGGUGGAUUCCCCAACAGAGUAUAUACAGGAUAACAUCAGCAAGAAUUGCAAAAAUAAAAAGGCAUGAAAUUAAGACAGCUUUAAGGUACCACUAUGUUGGCUCUCAGAUUGGCUGACAGGAAAAGAUAAUGAUGAAUGUUGCA